CCAACCUCCUCCACACUAUCACACAGAAAGUGUAGAUAGGGCGUUACCCAAAGUGUUCAAUAUUGAAAAAGAGGAAGGUGAGUAAUGUUCCCUACUAGAAAGGAGAGGGGGGGCUGGUGCCAGCCCCCGCGGUAAAACCAGCUCUUCAAGUGGUCGGGAUAAUUAUUGGGCUUAAAGUGUCCGUACCCGGUUUAUUAAGUCUCUGGUAAAUUCGGGUAGCUUAACUAUCUAUAAGGGAGAGAAUCCUGCUAUUCUGGGGGGCGGGGAAGUUUUUAUUUUUUUUGUUUUUGGGUAAACUUUAUCCUUGGAGAGACCCCCCCGGCCAAGGGGUCAAAAUGGAAACGGCCGGACCGGGAGGGAAAACCCCGGGGAGCGACCCGAAUUAAAUACCCGGGUAGUCCUGGUUGAAACAAUGCAUUCUAGGGGAGGGCACGGACAUGAGCCGUGUCAGUGCCGGAGGGAAACCGUUAAGUGUCCCCCCUGGAAAGUACGGGCGCGAGGCUAAAACUUAAGGGAAUUGCCGGGGGAAAGGCCCAAUCCUUUUAAACUUGCAGGACUAGUCCCUUUAUGGAGGGGUUAUUCUUGAGCCUUGCGGAACCUUGGCCAUAGUUGUUUCCAGA
rnacentral:rRNA from 1 species